UUAAUAUUCCUUCGGAAUAGAGCAACAAAGAAUGAGCGAGCGAGAUGUCACUAUCUGCAACCCUGUGUGAUAAAAAGAGAUGUGUGAUGCUAUCAUCGUCACGUCAAUAGAACCAUUUUUGCAAAAGAUUUGACAGGCAGUGACACAUAGAGGCACAAAGCAGAAUUUCAAAUCACAGUUUUUUCUAAAAAUUUCGUAAAAUCCUGUAUAGUUUUGGAAUUUUUUUAUUGUAAUACAAUGGUGACCUGUUCCGUCCUUGAUUGUGAUGUAAACCAGAGAAAUAAUCCCGCAAAAUAUUAAUUUCACAGAUUUCCGACUAACGAAGAUGUAAGAAAAACAUGGCUCAAAUUAAUUAAUCGUCCAAAUUGGAUUCCAACUAAAUAUGCCACUUUAUGUAGCAAACAUUUUGAUAGUAAAUGUUUUCGAAAAAUUGGAGCCAGAAUCACGUUGAAAAAAUGUGCAAUCCCUACAGAGUUUGUUCCGGUAAGUUUAAUUAAAAUAAUACUAUUUCUGGCAAUAAAUAUUUUCAUUUUCAUUUUCUUCUGAUGAUGUUUCGUUGGUUAGUAAUGUCAAUUUAUUACCUUGAUCUGGUUGUUUUCAUUGUUUUGAUAAAAAAUGUUUAACUAUAAGUUAUAAUUAAAC